rnacentral:lncRNA from 1 species
CCUUUAACAAAAAAUUUUCUUCUCUAAUUUUCUAUGAUACAAUCAGAUCUAAUCUAAUUUCUCAUAUAGAAAAUAAUAUGAAAAUCUAAGGUCUAGAAGAAUCUAAAAGAAAGAUCCAAGAGAAGAACUGUUCUUCUCUUUUUUUCUUCCUUUUUCUUCUUGAUCUAGACCCAUAGGAAGUUCCAAAUAUCUAACCAAAUUUUUU